UUUUUUUUUUUUCUUGUCUUCCCCGAGAACUCCAACAAUUUUUAUGGCGCGUGCAAAUCUUGCGAUGGGCAGUCUGUCCUUGAUGACAAAGUCUAGAAUGACUUUCCCUCGUGGUGCCGAUGAUGUGAAAGUCACGGGUUGCUGGGAUGGACAGGUCCAACGACGCAUCAUGGAAUUUUCCAACGCAUGGCCUCGUUCGAUUAUCCUUCGUUUUAUUUUGAUUAAUUCACAUAGCUUUGUUUUUAUAACUAUAGGCUUAAUAUUUGUAUCAUUAAAUAGGAUAUUCAUGUCAGGAGA